rnacentral:rRNA from 1 species
AUUGAACGCUGGCGGCAGGCCUAACACAUGCAAGUCGGACGAGUGGCGGACGGGUGAGUAAUGUCUGGGAAACUGCCUGAUGGAGGGGGAUAACUACUGGAAACGGUAGCUAAUACCGCAUACCAUCAGAUGUGCCAAGAUUGGAUUAGCUAGUAGGUGGGGUAAUGGAUCACCUAGGCGACGAUCCCUAGCUGUUCUGAGAGGAUGACCAGCCACCCUGGAACUGAGACACGGUCCAGCCUACUACGGGAGGCAGCAGUGGGGAAUAUUGCACAAUGGGCGCAAGCCUGAUGCAGCCAUGCCGCGUGUAUGAAGAAGGCCUUCGGGUUGUAAAGUACUUUCAGCGGGGAGGCGUUACCCGCAGAAGAAGCACCGGCUAACUCCGUGCCAGCAGCCGCGGUAAUAC